rnacentral:rRNA from 1 species
UUGGAGGGCAAGUCUGGUGCCAGCAGCCGCGGUAAUUCCAGCUCCAAUAGCGUAUAUUAAAGUUGUUGCAGUUAAAGAGCUCGUAGUUGAAUUUCGGGGUCAGUAGGUUGGUCGUGCCACCGGUACGUACUGGUCUCACUGAUUCCUCCUUCCUGAUGAGCUGUAAUGCCAUUAACUUGGUGUUGCAGGGAAUCUGGACUGUUACUUUGAAAAAAUUAGAGUGUUUAAAGCAGGCUAACGCUUGAAUACAUUAGCAUGGAAUAAUGAAAUAGGACGUUCGAUCCUAUUUUGUUGGUUUCUAGGAUUGACGUAAUGAUUAAUAGGGAUAGUUGGGGGCAUUAGUAUUCAAUUGUCAGAGGUGAAAUUCUUGGAUUUAUUGAAGACUAACUACUGCGAAAGCAUUUGCCAAGGAUGUUUUCAUUAAUCAAGAACGAAAGUUAGGGGAUCGAAGACGAUCAGAUACCGUCGUAGUCUUAACCAUAAACUAUGCCGACUAGGGAUCGGAUGAUGUUAAUUUUUUAAUGACUCAUUCGGCGCCUUACGGGAAAC